UAGGAUGUAGCUCAGUGGCAGAGUGCCUGCCUUAUAUCCAUAAGGCCCUGGGUUUGAUCCCUAGCACCAUAA
rnacentral:tRNA from 1 species